GUCCACGCAGUAAACGAUGAGUGCUAGUUAUUGGGAUCUUAGAUUUCGGUGGCGAAGCUAACGCGUUGAGCACUCCGCCUGGGGAGUACGGCCGCAAUGCUAAAACUCAAAGGAAUUGACGGGGACCCGCACAAGCAGUGGAGCAUGUGGUUUAAUUCGAUGCUACGCGAAAAACCUUACCAGCCCUUGUAUCCUCACUAUGAUUCUCAGAGAUGAGUUUCUUCACUUCGGGUGGGUGAGAGACAGGUGUUGCAUGGCUGUCGU
rnacentral:rRNA from 1 species